CGCACACAGAGGGAGGCAAGCCGGCGACGGCAAGCAAACCCCGGAAAAGGCGCCCCAGUUCGGAUUGUAGUCUGCAACCCGACUACAUGAAGCCGGGAUCGCUAGUAAUCGCAGAUCAGAAUGCUGCGGUGAAUACGUUCCCGGGUCUUGUACACACCGCCCGUCACACCAUGGGAGCCGGGAAUGCCCGAAGUCGGCAGCCGAACCGUAAGGAAGGAGCCGCCGAAGGCAGGCCCGGUAACUGGGGUGAAGUCGUAACAAGGUAGC
rnacentral:rRNA from 1 species